CCCGAAACUGGAUGAGCUCUUCCAAGACAGCCUAUAAUAGGGCACAUCCUUCUCUGUGGCAAAAGAGUGGAAAGAGCUUUGAGUAGCGGUGACAGACCUACCGAAUCCAGUAAUAGCUGGUUGCCCGAAAACUGAGUUUAAGCUCAGCUUUUUGGUUUCUUAACUCAUAACCCUUUUAACCAACCCGACUUCAAGAAACCAAAAAAGUUAGUCAAAGGGGGUACAGCCCCUUUGACACAAGAAACAACUUUCUUAGGAGGAUAAAGAUCAUAAUAACCAAGGUAAUGUGUCUAGGUGGGCCUAAAAGCAGCCACCCUAAGAAAGCGUUAAAGCUCAAGCACAACACCACCCCCAAUACUGAUAACCCAUCCUAACCCCUAAUCCCUACCGGGCCUCUCUAUGCACACAUAGAAGAGACUAUGCUAAUAUGAGUAAUAAGGGGCCCGCCCCCCUCCUGGCACAAGUGUAUAUCAGAACGAACCCCCACCGAAAUUUAACGGCCCCAAUAAAAGAGGGCAGUGGGAGCUAAACUAGAUAACUAGAAAACCCCCCAAAAAAUACCGUUAACCCCACACUGGUGUGCUCAACAGGAAAGACUAAAAGAAAAAGAAGGAACUCGGCAAACCCACAGGCCUCGCCUGUUUACCAAAAACAUCGCCUCUUGCAAAAACAACGCAUAAGAGGUCCUGCCUGCCCUGUGGGUACUAUGUUCAACGUCCUCUGCCUAA
rnacentral:rRNA from 1 species